rnacentral:rRNA from 1 species
UACGGAGGGGGGCUAGCGUUGUUCGGAAUUACUGGGCGUAAAGCGCACGUAGGCGGCUUUGUAAGUUAGAGGUGAAAGCCCAGGGCUUAACCCUGGAAUUGCCUUUAAGACUGCAUCGCUAGAAUUGUGGAGAGGUAAGUGGAAUUCCGAGUGUAGAGGUGAAAUUCGUAGAUAUUCGGAAGAACACCAGUGGCGAAGGCGACUUACUGGACACAUAUUGACGCUGAGGUGCGAAAAGCGUGGGGGAGCAAACAGG